GAGAGAGAUUCGUAAUAACAGAAACUGCUAACUUUUGCUUCCUUGGUUAGACUCCAAGGCUCACUCGU
rnacentral:tRNA from 1 species